AUUGAACGCUGGCGGCAUGCUUUACACAUGCAAGUCGAACGGUAACAGGCCGCAAGGUGCUGACGAGUGGCGAACGGGUGAGUAAUGCAUCGGAACGUGCCCAGUCGUGGGGGAUAACUACUCGAAAGAGUAUCUAAUACCGCAUACGAUCUAUGGAUGAAAGCGGGGGACCGUAAGGCCUCGCGCGUUUGGAGCGGCCGAUGUCAGAUUAGGUAGUUGUUGGGGUAAAGGCUCACCAAGCCAACGAUCUGUAGCUGGUCUGAGAGGACGACCAGCCACACUGGGACUGAGACACGGCCCAGACUCCUACGGGAGACAGCAGUGGGGAAUUUUGGACAAUGGGCGCAAGCCUGAUCCAGCAAUGCCGCGUGCAGGAAGAAGGCCUUCGGGUUGUAAACUGCUUUUGUACGGAACGAAACGGCUCUGGUUAAUACCCGGGGCUAAUGACGGUACCGUAAGAAUAAGCACCGGCUAACUACGUG
rnacentral:rRNA from 1 species